ensembl:lncRNA
GCGUGCACAUCCUGAACUACUUUGUAUUGAUGCACUGAACAUCUCACAUGUGCAGGAUGGUCUUCGGAUUUAUGUACGAGGUCAGGAAGUGGUAAACUUAUCUCAAGUGAAAUGUGCCUCUGCAGUAGCUGCAGUUUGAGAUGAUAUCUGAGAUCUCAAGUGAUGAACAUGCCAAGCCUAAUGGACAGACUGCUGAUGUGUUACUGUUUCACAUGUGUCAGUGUCUAUGGACUAGGACCUGGUAAGACAUAAUAAUCUUUUAUCUAAUGACGUUAAUGAGAUUGAACAUUUUGAAAAGGUUUAAGUCAUUCAUUUAAGCAGGAACAGCAACCCUUUAGAUUACGGCUUGAUAGCUACAGUGUAAUAUUUUAGUAUAUAAGGGUUAUAAAUGGAUAAGUACUGGGUAUUUCUCAUGUACGUUAGGUUAGAGGUUUGAUAAAACAAAUAAAUUACAAGGCAGGGAAAAUGGUUAAAACAGGUUCAUACUAUGUCUCUUUUAUCUUGUGAUAUGACUUUCAAGAGAGCAUGAGGGAACAGUUUUACUAAGUUGGAGUCAUUAACUUUCAGCCCAUCAGUAACAGUGUAACUGUUUGGCAUUGAUGAGGUCUUUUAUAUAGUGGUGACUAUCGCAUUGUUUGUAGAUGGGAUGUGCAUUGUGUGUGUAGAUCGGCAGAUUAUGAAUGAACCCUGAGCCUUCACUGCAGAUCGUGCUCUUUGGCUGUACAUCCUUAAUAACAAAUAGCACACAAACCACCCAGAUUGUUGCUUUAUCAACUGGACACUUGUGUGCGUUUUUUUUCUCAUUGUUUUACAAACUUUUUCUUUCCUCACAUCCACCUCCAUCUCAAACAGGAACUCAUCAUUCCACCUCUCCGAGCUUUAACGAUUCUUCUAUCGGUGGUGAUGUUGUCAUACAUUCAGCCUUCAACGAGGGGAGUGACGUAAACUUGACAUGCAGCAAUAAGACGUGGAAUGAGACACUAUAUGUUAUCUGGACAAUACAGUUGAAAUACAGAAAUGAAUGCAAGAUAUCCUUAGAUGAUGGAGGGCGAAGAGUAGACACAUGCAAAGAUGGCAAGUCACUCUAUACAUCCAGCACUCAGUCAUACUUGCACAUCCCAAACUUGACCAAUGGCGACGAAGGGGUCUACAAAUGUGAGUCGGUUUAUGAAGGAGGAAUCGAUCGUUAUGAGAUCAACGUGGCCAUCACAGUUCCUCCCAGAAUAUCAGCCUGGUUAGAGAAAGAGGACAACAAGAUGGUGGCAAUGUGCAAAGCUGAAAGAGGAAAACCUGCUGCCAACAUCUUCUGGAGCCAUGAGGGAAACUUAUCGGAUGUGAAAACAUCGUCUGACAAAGAUGGAUUUUUUACAGUAGAGAGUCGUCUGGAGAUCUCAGAAGGAACGAACACAGAAAACCUGAACUGUGCUGUCAGCCACCCGUACUGGAGAGAGGAUAAGAUUUUAGAACCAAAACUCACAAAAGGUCAGAUCUUUCAGAGAGCAUUGGACAAGAGAAAGGCUCUAAAUCUGGGUUUAAAACAGCUACUUGGUGUUUUGUAUUAUAUUUCAUAUGAUAACUUUGUAAAUAUAUGGGAGCUCCAGUAUAUUAUUAACAAGUCAUUAAUCAUCACUCUCUCACUACAGGUUAUUUUUGGCCACGUAUCCUUACUGUUGUGUCAAUCCUGGUGAUUUUGGCAGGAUUUUUACUUUUGUACAAGCGAAAAUAAUGUUGAGGUAAGAAUUUUCAUUUGCUGAGAAAUUCAUUACUAAAAUUACACUUGCAAGUUUCUUGUCUGAGCUGGUUUGUGUUUCCACGUUCUGCCAGGCGAUGUCAGCAGGCGAUGUCAGCAGUUUGACACCUCACCAACCACUUCCCCUGUCACCUCUGGUGUGCCUCAGGGCUCUGUCCUGGGGCCCCUCCUCUUUAUCAUUUAUCUCCUUCCCCUUGGCAAUAUCUUCCGCAAACAUAACAUCACUUUUCACUGUUACGCAGAUGACACCCAGCUCUACCUCGCCAGCAAACCCACUUCCAACCUCCCUCCCUCCUCCCUUACCGACUGCUUAACUGAAAUAAAAUCCUGGUUCACUUCAAAUCUACUAAAACUCAACUCUGACAAAACUGAGAUCCUUCUCAUUGGCACACAGUCAACACUUUCCAAAACCGACAGUUUCCCCCUCAUCAUUGAUAACUGCUCCGUUUCCCCCUCCCCACAGGUUAAGAGUCUGGGUGUCAUCCUCGACAGUACACUCUCCUUCCAAUCUCACAUCAAUAACAUCACCCGGUCUGCUUACUUCCACCUACGCAACAUCAACCGCCUCCGCCCCUCCCUUACUCCCCAUACCACUGCUAUCCUCGUCCAUAGUCUCAUCACUUCCCGUCUGGAUUACUGCAACUCCCUCCUCUCCGGUCUCACCCACAAAUCCCUGCACAAACUUCAACUGGUCCAGAAUUCAGCUGCCCAUGUCAUCACCAGAACCCCCUCCAUCCACCACAUCACUCCCGUCCUACAGCAGCUCCACUGGCUCCCGGUCAAGUCCCGCAUUGACUUCAAAAUCCUUCUGCUAACAUUCAAGGCCAUUCACAAUCUUGCCCCCCCAUAUCUUUCCAAUCUUCUCCAUAUCGCCACUCCCUCUCGCACCCUCCGUUCAUCCUCCUCCAUUCUGCUGACUGUCCCCCCUGCCCGUCUCACCACCAUGGGGAGCAGAGCUUUCAGCCGCUCUGCUCCCCGGCUCUGGAACUCUCUGCCACCCGAAAUAAGGAACAUCACUACACUAUCUGAUUUCAAGUCCAAACUCAAAACACACCUGUUUAAGAUCACCUUUUUUAGUUAAAUGAAUUUUCUGUCAAUUUUUACUGUUUUCUUUUCUUGUGUACUUUGUGGCUUAAAUUGUCUUUGUUUACUGUAAGGUGUCCUUGAGUGACAGAAAGGCGCCUAUGAAAUAAAAUGUAUUAUUAUUAUUAUUAUUAUCUGCACUGGUGAGUAAUCUUUCUGUAACUCUGCAGUUCAAAGCUCUGUCUGUUUUGCUGCCACUGCUAAGGUUUGUUGACAUCACCUCUAUGUCUCUCUCCCCCAAGGAAUCGCUCUGCCAUCUACCGGUGGACAGCAGAACAUCGUCCACCAUCGUGAUCAUGCACUGCUUUUAAAAUUGUAGGCUGCUGCUACUAUAAUUAGCUUGACCCUCACGCUGAAUAUUUAGUUGAACUGAAAAAAGGAAACUACACAAAUGUAUUUCUGUCCAGAGAACAUGGCACAUUUGAACUCUUUUAAUUUUGCACAGUGGUGGAGGAAGUAUUCAGAUUCUUUACUUCUGGGAAAAUGCUGUAACCAGACUGUAAAAAUACUCUGUUACAUGUCUGCUUUGAAAACGUUACUCAAGUAAAUGUCUGUGAAUGUUAUCAGUAUUUAAAGUAAAAGUGC